GACGAACGCUGGCGGCGUGCUUAACACAUGCAAGUCGAACGGAAAGGCCCUGCUUUUGUGGUGUGCUCGAGUGGCGAACGGGUGAGUAACACGUGAGUAACCUGCCCUUGACUUUGGUAUAACUUCAGGAAACUGGGUCUAAUACCGGAUAGGAGUGCCGGCUGCAUGGUGGGGGUUGGAAAGUUUCGGCGGUUGGGGAUGGACUCGCGGUUUAUCAGCUUGUUGGUGGGGUAGUGGAUUACCAAGGCUUUGACGGGUAGCCGGCCUGAGAGGGUGACCGGCAACGUUGGGACUGAGAUGCGGCCCAGACUCCUACGGGAGGCAGCAGUGGGGAAUGUUGCACAAUGGGAGGAAGCAUGAUGCAGCAACGCCGCGUGCGGGAUGACGGCCUUCGGGUUGUAACCCGCUUUCGACUGUGACGAAGCGUGAGUGACGGUAAUGGGUAAAGAAGCACCGGCUAACUACGUG
rnacentral:rRNA from 1 species